rnacentral:rRNA from 1 species
GAUGAACGCUAGCGGCAGGCUUAAUACAUGCAAGUCGAGGGGCAGCAUGAAGUAGCAAUACUUUGAUGGCGACCGGCAAACGGGUGCGGAACACGUACACAACCUCCCUUUAAGUGGGGAAUAGCCCAGAGAAAUUUGGAUUAAUACCCCGUAACACCACGAAGUGGCAUCACUUUGUUGUUAUAGUUUCGACGCUUAAUGAUGGGUGUGCGUAUGAUUAGAUAGUUGGCGAGGUAACGGCUCACCAAGUCUACGAUCAUUAGCUGAUGUGAGAGCAUGAUCAGCCACACGGGCACUGAGACACGGGCCCGACUCCUACGGGAGGCAGCAGUAAGGAAUAUUGGUCAAUGGACGCAAGUCUGAACCAGCCAUGCCGCGUGAAGGAUUAAGGUCCUCUGGAUUGUAAACUUCUUUUAUAUGGGACGAAAAAAGGUCUUUCUAGACCCCUUGACGGUACCAUAUGAAUAAGCGCCGGCUAACUCCGUGCCAGCAGCCGCAGUAAAAC